rnacentral:ncRNA from 1 species
AACGGUAGAGGUUGCGUUGAGCAUCAGUAGUCUGUCGGAUGUGCCGUACACAGGUGAAGACAGAUGGAAGGGCGAUACGCCGAAGGAACGGUUUUUUACGGAGGACCGGGUCCUGGGCAUACGAUGAACAGUCGUGUGACUGUCAUCCUUGAAAGAGGAUGGGGAGCUAUC